CCUACGGGGGGCUGCAGUGGGGAGUAUUGCACAAUGGGCGCAAGCCUGAUGCAGCCAUGCCGCGUGUGUGAAGAAGGCCUUCGGGUUGUAAAGCACUUUCAGCGGGGAGGAAGGCGUUAAGGUUAAUAACCUUGGCGAUUGACGUUACCCGCAGAAGAAGCACCGGCUAACUCCGUGCCAGCAGCCGCGGUAAUACGGAGGGUGCAAGCGUUAAUCGGAAUUACUGGGCGUAAAGCGCACGCAGGCGGUCUGUCAAGUCGGAUGUGAAAUCCCCGGGCUCAACCUGGGAACUGCAUUCGAAACUGGCAGGCUAGAGUCUUGUAGAGGGGGGUAGAAUUCCAGGUGUAGCGGUGAAAUGCGUAGAGAUCUGGAGGAAUACCGGUGGCGAAGGCGGCCCCCUGGACAAAGACUGACGCUCAGGUGCGAAAGCGUGGGGAGCAAACAGGAUUAGAUACCCGGGUAGUC
rnacentral:rRNA from 1 species